UAUGAAUUAAAACUUUAAAUGUUAUCAUUUGAAUUUCUUGGUUUCUUUGGUUUUGAUAAAAGUUAGAACAGAGUUAAAGAAUUCCCUUUCAAACCCUAAAAUUUCCUUUCAAACCCUAUUGCGCCGUCACUUCAUCUUCACUCUCGAACCCAGCAGCUUCCUCGAGCCUUCAUCGUUGUAAUCGUUCAACCUAUUGCGUUCAUCGUUCAGCCUUCAUCGCGUUCAUCACUGCCCUUCAUCUCACCCAUCCUGCAUCGCCUUCGUCGCACCCAGCCUUCAUCGCUGUAAUCGUCAUCUUCGUCGAGCAGUCGUUGUCUUGAGCUUGCCGUCGCCAUCACCAUGGUCUUCCUCGAGCUUGCCGUCGCUGUCAUGUUCGUCGAGCAGUCGUUGUCUUCCUCGACGCUGCUUUGAAUGGCUUUUCCUUGAAAGGUUCAGAAAACCCUAACCUCCAUCACGCCGCCAUCUAUCUCACCGUCGCCACCCUUGGCCCUCAAGAUCGCAACCAGGUUCGUCCUUGCUGUUUGGCUUGUUGUCCCUCUCGCCGUUCUGCUCGGAAAGCUGCUCGCCUCUGUCUCGUGGUUCUUCUCGCCUCUGUCUCGCAGUUCUGCACGCCUCUGUCUCGCGGUUCUGCUCGCCAGGUCUCGCGGUUCUGCUCGCCGUGCUGCUCGAAGCAGCAACAGAAGAAGAAGAAAGAGAAAAAGGUGUAUGAUUUACCUGGCCAGAAAUGAGAUCCACUGGAGGAGAAAGAUCCUCUCAGGAUUUUCUAUGAGAGUUUAUAUGAGCAAGUUCCCACAAGCGAAAUGUCACAAGUCUGUGCUACAAGACCAAAAAUCUACUUUUGUGGAAGCUUUAAACUUUAACUAUGGGAAACCUUAUGAUCAAAGUAAGUUUCUCUUAAUGACUUCUCCAUACAUAUAUAUAUGGUUUGCAGCAUUUUAAAUUUUCCUAUUGCCAAUUGUGUAAUAUUUAAUUUCUCCUUCUUCCUUACAACUGGAUAAAGAUUAAUAUGAAGACAUCAUCAUAAUAUAGAACCUUAAUUUUGUUAAAGCAACUCGAAGAUUAAUCAACAAAUUCAAUAUGGAAUAAGCAAAGAUUACAAAGUAGUUGCCCGUUAAUAUAAUAAUGGUGAUAGCCGCAAGUUUCUGUAUUUUCAAAAGUAUAUGAUGAUAUAUAUGUAUGUGACUAUGCGAGUUAACGGAAUAUCCAAGUAAUAUCUGUAUAUGUACAUUUAUCUUCAAAGGAUACUUUUUCUAUAAAUAUAGUUUUAACUUAUAUAAGAUUAUUUUGUGGUGGUCUUUAAGAAUUAGAGCAUUAU